rnacentral:lncRNA from 1 species
AAAAAGGGGUCUAAAUAGUCCAUGCUUUAAGAAGGCCUUUACUGAGAAGUCAUGAGCAAAAAAAAAAAAAAAAAAAAAAAAAAGAAAGAAAAAAAAAAAAAAAAGAGCCAGGAUUGUUUCUAGGUUGCUAUAGAAACCAGGUUUCCUCUUCCUGGUAGGAAAGGAGUAGUGCUUGAGUCCUCUCUUCCACCAAUCCUGAAGGUUGUAUAAGCAGAGCUUGCCAAGGCCUGAGGAAGAGCUCAUCUUAGAGGACAAACUCACCUUUGCCCUCAGCUGGCCCGCCAGUUCAGAGUCCUUUGACCCUUCCUUUCCCUACCUUCCUACCCCAAUAUUAAAAGAAGGCUUUUCUCCUCUGGUGCCUUGUCCUCUGCGGAGACCUGUUGCUUAGCAACCACUACUGCCUUCUUCCUAAUAACUCACAGGGACUGAGAGAUAUAAUAUCUGUCUCUAUAUUCAGUUCCUCUCCCCUCUCUAUUUAUAUUUAAUAACUGAAACAGUGUGUUGAGUUCCCUUGGCACCUGUUCUAGAGGCCUCUUAGAUUAGGCUGCAUCCUGCAGACCAUUACACCUGAGGAAGAAGAGGGAAGAGUGAGAAGAAAGCUGUGGACAGUAUUCUCCUAAGCAUAGGUGGAGAGAGGGGAAGGAUUACAUCAUGAAGGAGGCUCAAUGCUAGGGCCUGGAGUGGACCCUAACAGCAUUCCAGGCUAGUGCUUUUCUGCUUUCCAGCCACACCGCCGCCUCCGCCGCCACCUCUGCCGCCGCCUCCACUGCCGCUGCUGCUUGACCAUUUUCCAGUCCAAGCCCUCUUACAUUUAUUUUGUUCUUUUUGUUUUUGAGACAGAGUUUCUCUGUGUAGCCCUGGCUGUCCUGAGACUUGCUGUGUAGACCAACGUGGCUUCAGACUACUCAGAGAUCUGCCUGCCUCUGCCUCCUGAGUGCUGGGAUUAAAGGCAUGUGCCGCCAUGCCCUGUACUGUUUCUAUGUCUGAGAGACUCACCCUGGUGUCUGGAUGUUGUUGUGUCAGAGGUGCUAUGGUAAAGGAAGUCCUUCGAGAGUCCUGGAUAUCAGCCAAAGCUUCUGGUCACUAGAAAAGAAUCCUGAGCUCUUGACCAGAAAACCCUCAACUGAUUUGGCAGUGGAAACUAUACAAUAUCAUCAAAAAGGAGACUCAAGGGGGCUUCUAUUAGAAGUCAGUCUUGGACACAGUGGUAUACACCUCUAGCCCCAGGACUCAAGAGGCUGAGGCAGGUGGACUGCCAUGAAUGCAAGGCCUAUGUGGGUUAUAUAACGAACAACAGGCCAGGCAGGGUUCACAGCAAAGCCCUGUCUCCAAAAGGAGUUAAGGCUAAGGCUUGAGUCCACCCAUUCCUAGUCUCCUAUGUUCUGGGUUAUUCUACUUAAUCUUUUAAACAUCACUAAAUCUGUAUGGCGCAGCAUUUACCUUGUUAGACCUUAGCAGAACCAAUUACAGUGAUACAUGAAAGAAAGUACCCUGGAAUUGGACAAAUUUAAUUUAAAUAUUUUUUAAAGAUUUAUUUAUCUUAUGUGAAUGCGUUUUCAUGCACACCAGAAUGGAUCCCAUUGCAGAUGGUUGUGAACCACCAUGUGGUUGCUGGGAUUUGAACUCAGGAUGUGUGAAAGAACAGCCAGUGCUCUUAACCGCUGAGCCAUCUCUCCAGCCCCUAAAUAUUAUUUUAAGGUAGGAAGAAGACCUGGUUUUUGGAAAGAGGGUGAUGUAUUGAAUUGAUCCCACUGGGCUUAGGAACAGCCCUUUCCACAGUCCUCCAAACUGCCUAGCUUCCUUACAUUGUUGACAUUCAGGCUGUGGCUCUGCCUUCUUUCUGGUCAGUAGUAAUUCAAAUCGAACAGGACCUUGAAAAGGUCAUAUGGUGUCCUUUUGUUCUUGUUUUGUAUUUUUUGUUUCUUUUGUUUUAUUUGAGACAGGAUUUCUCUGUAUAACAGCCCUGGCUGUCCUGGAACUCUUUGUAGACCAGGCUAGCCUCAAACUCACAGAGACCUGCCUGCAGUCUGCCUCCCGAGCACUGGGAUUAAAGGUGUACUAAC